rnacentral:tRNA from 1 species
CCGUCGAUAGCUCAGUUGGUAGAGCGGAGGACUGUAGAGUUUGCAGAUAUCCUUAGGUCACUGGUUCGAAUCCGGUUCGACGGA